GGGGAUGUAGCUCAGUUGGUAGAGCGCCUGCUUUGCAAGCAGGAUGUCGCAGGUUCGAAUCCUGUCUUCUCCA
rnacentral:tRNA from 1 species